rnacentral:tRNA from 1 species
GCCGGGAUGGUGAAACGGUAUACACGAUAGGUUUAGGACCUAUUGCCAGUAAUGGCGUGGAGGUUCGAUUCCUCUUCCCGGCA